GUGUGACAUUUACAUAGCCCAGGGAAGGCUGGCCACCCUACCCUAAUCUUAUUAUGUAACUGAACUUUCCCCUUGGCCAGGGCCAUCUUGUCUGCUCCUUACUGUACAUGUGGCUGGCAGAGAAGGGAAGGUGGAGCCGCUAUUUUGAACAUGAUUGGCACAACUGCCAGCAUCUAUAUCUGCAGCUUGAUUUUACAGGCUGCUCUUUGUUAGAAAGGAACAUGAUUUGGGGCUACUUUUCAUUAAAAGGAAAACUGUACCGAAGACUUCCAUACCCUCACUAUCUGUGGAAUCCCUGGAAAGAAAUGAAGCUUCACACUCAGAAUAUCACAUUUAGUGAUUUCAGGAGACCAGCAGAAUAGGAAUUAAGCUGGAACUCCUAUACAGUUUAUUUUCUAGGUUUGGGACCUCUGCGUACCUCCUGUGGCUUUAUGGUACCUGGUAUUGUUUCCCCAGACCAUGAGUCUCCAGUGUUGGAGUGCCCACUUCAGAAGUCUGUGUGUUUUGCUUCAUCCUGAGGAUCCCAUCUUGGAUACCACAUUACCUUAAACACUGCCUCAGCCAGGUGAUCAAGGUCAACGUCUACUGUGAUAAGUCAUGGUUUUGGUGUGUACCCUUGAUGUGAUGUGAUAAAAAUGGCACUUUACCUCUGUGGUCUUCCUCUGAAAAAUCCCGUAACAGCAGCCUAAUCAUGAGAAGCAUAUCAACAAAACUCAGACUCAGGGACAUUCUACAAAAUACCAGGCUGUCCCUCCCUGAAAUUGUCAAGUUCACCAAAAACAAGGUGAAUCUAAGAAACCUGUUACAGCCAAGAGGAGCCUAAGAAGACAUGAGGACUAAAUAUAACAUGGAAUUCGGGAUAGGAUUGUGCUACAGAAAAUGUAUGUGCUAAUGUGAGAUGUUAACAGUUGGAGAAACUCAGUUUUGGGUAUAAGGAAUUCUCUGUACUAUGUUUAUCUAAAAACAAUUCCAUGGUGAGCAAACUUAAGCAUAGAAAUGUUAAAUAAAUUGUCCAAAAUAGAGAAGUAAAUAGCAGUGCCAGGUUUCAAGCAUAAGAAUCAUCAACUCUGAACUUUAAACACAGCUCUGUAUGGUACUUUUGUUUAUAUCAAUGCCUAGAUAGAUAAAUAGGUAGAUAGAUAAUUUCCAAGUGCUAGAAACAAAAAAGGAACUAAAACUGAUAAAGAAUAUAAAUGAGGCCAGGCAGGGUGGCUCACACCUGUAAUCCCAGCAUUUUGGGAGGCCGAGGCAGGCAGAUCACUGAAGGUUCGGAGUUCAAGACCAGCCUGGCCAACUGGGGAAACCCUGUCUCUACUAAAAAAAAAAAAAAAUAGCCAGGCAUGGUGGCAUGUGCCUGUGAAGCAAGAGAUGUGAGAGGAAAAACAAAUUUUUCCUCUUUCUUUUGGUAUGGGCAGCUUCCCCCUUGAAUCCCUCCUCACUCCUUGUGAUUUUACCCUGCUCUGUAAGUUUUAUGAGUUUAUAGAUUCCUGUUUUCUGUAACUAGUGUCUGUAAGUCUCUGUAGCACCGUGGAGGUAAUGAGACAUGCUUGAGCAAGCUUAGAUUGCAGCCAUCUGGGCGCCAUAGCGAAGGACACGAGAUAAGGCUGUGCAGGCAUCUUGAGCAAACCUAGAUAACAGCCACCUGGCCUGCACAGCAAGAAUCAUGUGUAAGCUUGAGUUAGGAACCUGUCACAGUUUGAUUAACUGCCUUUGUUCUGCUUCUGUAAGCUUGCUUUCCACACCCCACAAGCUUUGCGCCACUGGCAAGCCACCCUCCUUCAGUUGCAUGAAUAAAAGUCAAGCCCUGUCUUCUUUUGUUGCUCAGCCUCUGGAUAUUAAUCCACUAAGCCAGUGGCAACCUAAAUAAAAUCCUCCUGUUCCACCCAUCUGGUCUCUCCAGUCUCCUCAUUCCUGCAACACCUGCAAUCCCAGCUACAUGGGAGGCUGAGGCAGGAGAAUCACUUGAACCUGGGAGGCAGAGGGCACAGUGAGCCAAGAUGGUGCCACUGCACUCCAUCCUGGGUGACAGAGAGAGACUCAGUCUCAAAAAAAAAAAAAAAAAGAAUAUAAGUGAAUGUUGACCUCAUGGGGACUCACUGGUGUUUCAGACAUCAAGACUAUAGGCUAGAGUUCAAGACCCAGUGAGGAGAUGUGAUAUGAUUUUGUGUGAGGCAAGCAUCAAAAGCAGACACCUGUGUGUAAAGCCCAGAGAUCUGAAGAGCUAACCUGUCUGUGAAAAGGGAAUUAGAUAAAACACAGGCUACCAGUUCACAGAUGCUAGAGAGAGCUUGCUGUCAGCCUAGGGGGAAUUCUCACCAACUGAAAAAUUCCUAUCAGUGUUCAAUGACAUACGACAUUCAUAGAGAUUCUGAAUUGCCCAAGGAGUUUCCAAAUUGUAAUUCUAAUCCAUGAGUUUUGGGCAAUUUAGUGGCUUUGUGAUAAGAAAGGGGAAAUGCAAAACUUCUCUUGUAAGACUCGUGGUGUGAGCUGGUCCUGAAGUUCUUGAUCAUUUUGUUAGCACCCAAACUGGUUUGUCAACAAACUUUGAGAGUCAAAAGCUUGAGAGACAUGCACAUCAAAGACCAUGACAAAAAGGGAAGAAAAGCAACAACAGCACAGAAG
rnacentral:lncRNA from 1 species